rnacentral:rRNA from 1 species
UAGGCGUUUCGAAAAUGAAUCAAAACUUUCAACAACGGAUCUCUUGGUUCUGGCAUCGAUGAAGAACGCAGCGAAAUGCGAUAAGUAAUGUGAAUUGCAGAAUUCAGUGAAUCAUCGAAUCUUUGAACGCACAUUGCGCCCGCCAGUAUUCUGGCGGGCA